UUUAAUGAGAGUUUGAUCCUGGCUCAGGACGAACGCUGGCGGCGUGCCUAAUACAUGCAAGUAGAACGCUGAGGUUUGGUGUUUACACUAGACUGAUGAGUUGCGAACGGGUGAGUAACGCGUAGGUAACCUGCCUCAUAGCGGGGGAUAACUAUUGGAAACGAUAGCUAAUACCGCAUAAGAGUAAUUAACACAUGUUAGUUAUUUAAAAGGAGCAAUUGCUUCACUGUGAGAUGGACCUGCGUUGUAUUAGCUAGUUGGUGAGGUAAAGGCUCACCAAGGCGACGAUACA
rnacentral:rRNA from 1 species